GAUAGCUAUAGCAGGCCCGAGCCACUUGGGUGUCUGGUACAGAUAGAUAUAGCAGGCCCAAGCCAGUUGGGUGUCUGGUACAAAUAGAUAUAGCAGGCCCAAGCCAGUUGGGUGUGUGGUACAGAUAGAUAUAGCAGGCCCAAGCCAGUUGGGUGUCUGGUACAGAUAGCUAUGGCAGGCCCAAGCCAGUUGGGUGUCUGGUACAGAUAGCUAUGGCAGGCCCAAGCCAGUUGGGUGUCUGGUACAGAUAGAUAUAACAGGCCCAAGCCAGUUGGGUGUUUGGUACAGAUAGCUAUGGCAGGCCCAAGCCAGUUGGGUGUCUGGUACAGAUAGAUAUAGCAGGCCCGAGCCAGUUAAGUGUCUGGUACAGAUAGCUAUGGCAGGCCCAAGCCAGUUGGGUGUCUGGUACAGAUAGAUAUAGCAGGCCCGAGCCAGUUAAGUGUCUGGUACAGAUAGCUAUGGCAGGCCCAAGCCAGUUGGGUGUCUGGUACAGAUAGAUAUAGCAGGCCCGAGUCAGUUAAGUGUCUGGUACAGAUAGCUAUGGCAGGCCCAAGCCAGUUGGGUGUCUGGUACAGAUAGAUAUAGCAGGCCCGAGUCAGUUGGGUGUCUGCUACAGAUAGCUAUGGCAGGCCCAAGCCAGUUAAGUGUCUGGUACAGAUAGCUAUGGCAGUCCCAAGCCAAUUGGGUGUGUGGUACAGAUAGAUAUAGCAGGCCCAAGCCAGUUAGGUGUCUGGUACAGAUAGCUAUGGCAGUCCCGAGCCAGUUGGGUGUGUGGUACAGAUAGAUAUAGCAGGCCCAAGCCAGUUGGGUGUCUGGUACAGAUAGAUAUAGCAGGCCCGAGCCAGUUAAGUGUCUGGUACAGAUAGCUAUGGCAGGCCCAAGCCAGUUAAGUGUCUGGUACAGAUAGUUAUGGCAGGCCCGAGCCAGUUGGGUGUCUGGUACAGAUAGAUAUGGCAGGCCCGAGCCAGUUGGGUGUCUGGUACAGAUAGAUAUGGCAGGCCCGAGCCAGUUGGGUGUCUGGUACAGAUAGAUAUGGCAGGCCCAAGCCAGUUGGGUUUCUGGUACAGAUAGCUAUGGCAGGUCCAAGCCAAUUAAGUGUCUGGUACAGAUAGCUAUGGCAGGCCCGAGCCAGUUGGGUGUCUGGUACAGAUAGCUAUGGCAGGCCCGAGCCAGUUAAGUGUCUGGUACAGAUAGAUAUAGCAGGCCCAAGCCAGUUAAGUGUCUGGUACAGAUAGAUAUAGCAGGCCCAAGCCAGUUAAGUAUCUGGUACAGAUAGAUAUAGCAGGCCCAAGCCAGUUAAGUGUCUGGUACAGAUAGAUAUAGCAGGCCCAAGCCAGUUGGGUGUCUGGUACAGAUAGAUAUAGCAGGCCCAAGCCAGUUAAGUGUCUGGUACAGAUAGCUAUGGCAGGCUCAAGCCAGUUAGGUGUCUGGUACAAAUAGAUUUAGCAGGCUCAAGCCAGUUAGGGAGGCACCAGCCUGCUUAAGGAGGGACAAACCAAUCCAGGUCAAAAACUGAGUAGGUCAGAACUCCCAUGCCAGUCAGUAGUAGCAUCAAUCCCAUGAGUGGCCAUUGUACUUCCAGUCCACCCAGUGUUUGUCCUCAUCUCCUUUCCCAUCAAAAAAAAAAAAAAAAAAGGUUUGUGGUUUCCUACAAGUGGGAAUGGAAUUUACAUUGGGGCAUCCCUGCUUUCCCACCCAGUCCCCUUCUGACUUGUAACACAAGUAAACAAGCAAAUGCCAGGUGUCUUUCAAGGAUCCAGUAUGUUCAGUUGGAACCAGUAAAGACAAUUGUGUGUAUAUUAACAAGUUUGUAAUAUGUGCAAUUAUACAUACAUAUGUUUGUUGUGUUUGUACACAUAUUUGCGUGUGCAUGUACAUAGACAGAAACAUAAGUAUAACUAUGAUUAUAUAUUUCUGCUAAUGUGAAUGUUUGCCUUUUUAAAAACCUCCAGUCUGUUAUGUCUCUCUGAGUUUGUGAGAGCCCCUCUGUUCUCCACCUCUGGGACACAAAAGGCCAAAGUGGUUACAAGUUACAGCAUGAACAUCCCUAGAGCCUGUAUGAGUUUGCCACAGGGAGAAACCAGUUUUCUAAGGAAGGUUUUGAAGACAUGAAAAAGUUUCGUCCAGGCUCUGUCCCGCUCACAGGCAGAACUAUAACGAGAAGUCCUUUGGUCAGAGCAACCGUUUGGAUUGGGAGGCAGUUGGGAGAGACAAAAUUGGGGUGCUGUGGGGUUGACCUGUGGGCAGUUAUGUCUCAGUAGAGCUGUUCUAACACAUAAAGACACUAAGGCAAAGCACUGAGGGUGGUUUGGGGGAAAAAAUUUGUUUUUUCCCUGGACAGUCUCCUCAUCCCAUCCCAAUCCCCUUAACCCUUUAGGGCAGAGGUCCUCAAACUUUUUAAAUGGGGGGCCAGUUCACUGUCCCUCAGGCUGUUGGAAGGUUGGACUAUAGUAAAAAACAAAAACUUUGUUUUGUGGGCCUUUAAAUAAAGAAACUUCAUAGCCCUGGAUGUGGGGGAUAAACGUCCUUAAGUGCUGCAUCUGGCCCGAGGUAGUUUGAGGACCCCUACAGAGCAAAACUAGUGAUCUUGUGAUGGUUAUAGCUCUAAUCAAAAUGAGCUUCAUCCAAAUAAGGUAAGAAGAAAGGGAAAGAGACUAGAAAACUCCCUUGUUAAAAGCUGUAAAAAGUUAGAUAUUAAAGGACUAUUCCUAAUCUAAAAGCUCUUUAACAUAAUUCUAUAAUCACUUAUAAUUAUGUCGUAUUGAGACAUACACAAGAGCAGACACAAUGUGGUUAAUACUUGGAACAUUAACAAAUUGCCUGCAGUCUAAACCACUUUAAUAUGUACUGAAGAAUAGGAAUGAAUGAAUGAAUGAAUGAAAAAGCAUUUAUUAAGCUAUUAACUGUAUUUCAAACACUAUGCUAAGUAUUAAUAAGCAAAGAUAGUCCUUGCCCUUACAGAGCUUAUAUUCUAAUAGGGAGAGACAUCACACAUAUAAAGGAGUGGUGGCCAGGAUCAGGCUUUAAUGUUGAUGAGUGUAUAUUGCUGCAGGAUAUAUCCUUUCUUUUAGGAAUAAUGACCAUUUACUUGGGUCAAAGGCUUUCCUAGAUUCCAUUUAAGGUCUUUUAAAAUAACCUGUGUUUAAAUUCUGCAUCAACUUGGAAAUGGGUAUUUUCAGGACUCUGAUUCUGGGAUAAGAUAGCAGUUUUAAUCAACUUAUUUUUCUCUUUCAGGACUAUGAAGGUAGUAGCUUUUGUUUUUUUAACUAAAUCAAAGAGCAUACUGUCAUCUUAUGUCUUCAACAGAUCCUAUAACCUUAGUUUAUCCAAAUUUUAUGAUAUAUUGCUUUGCACAUUAACAUUUAGGAGCCCACAUUAGGGGGAUGAAGGCUAAAAGCAUCAGCUGUCAUUUUCAGUUCUUUUGAUGACUUUGGCCAUGGUUUUGGCCAUAGAUAGUCAGAAAUAGAGAGGAAGUUUCAGAAGUAGAUGAAAUAAGGAAGUUUGAUGAAAAUGGAGAUUCAGGCUUUCUUCAGUGUUACCUCCACAGGAUAAUGAUCACUGAUGGCUAGAGCCUAAACAAAACAAAACAAAACAAAAC